rnacentral:misc_RNA from 1 species
GAGUUUUUAACUCCUAAAACCAUGUGAACUUACCACUGUUUCCUCGGUGGAAGGUACCCGAAAGGGUGCUGGAAGCCGGUGGACAUUUAAACUCUUGUUAAUUUUGUUAAUUCUGAAUCAAACUAAGAAAUAAGUUAAAACUUUCAACAACGGAUCUCUUGGUUCU